rnacentral:rRNA from 1 species
CCCGUACACGAAAAUGCACAUGCUGUGAACUCGAAGAGUAGGGCGGGACACGUGGUAUCCUGUCUGAAUAUGGGGGGACCAUCCUCCAAGGCUAAAUACUCCUGACUGACCGAUAGUGAACCAGUACCGUGAGGGAAAGGCGAAAAGAACCCCGGCGAGGGGAGUGAAAAAGAACCUGAAACCGUGUACGUACAAGCAGUGGGAGCA